rnacentral:rRNA from 1 species
AUUGAACGCUGGCGGCAGGCCUAACACAUGCAAGUCGAGCGAGCGGCGGACGGGUUAGUAAUGUCUGUGAACCUGCCUGAUGGAGGGGGAUAACUACUGGAAACGGUAGCUAAUACCGCAUACCAUCGGAUGUGCCCAGAUGGGAUUAGCUAGUAGGUGGGGUAAAGGCUCACCUAGGCGACUAUCCCUAGCUGGUCUGAGAGGAUGACCAGCCACACUGGAACUGAGACACGGUCCAGACUCCUACGGGAGGCAGCAGUGGGGAAUAUUGGACAAUGGGCGAAAGCCUGAUGCAGCCAUGCCGCGUGUGUGAAGAAGGCCUUCGGGUUGUAAAGCACUUUAAGCGGGGAGGCGUUACCCGCAGAAGAAGCACCGGCUAACUCCGUGCCAGCAGCCGCGGUAAUAC